AUUGAACGCUGGCGGCAUGCCUUACACAUGCAAGUCGAACGGUAACGGGCCUUCGGGUGCCGACGAGUGGCGAACGGGUGAGUAAUACAUCGGAACGUGCCCGAUCGUGGGGGAUAACGAGGCGAAAGCUUUGCUAAUACCGCAUACGAUCUACGGAUGACAGCAGGGGACCGCAAGGCCUUGCGCGGACGGAGCGGCCGAUGGCAGAUUAGGUAGUUGGUUGGAUAAAAGCUUACCAAGCCGACGAUCUGUAGCUGGUCUGAGAGGAUGAUCAGCCACACUGGGACUGAGACACGGCCCAGACUCCUACGGGAGGCAGCAGUGGGGAAUUUUGGACAAUGGGAGCAAGCCUGAUCCAGCCAUGCCGCGUGGAGGAUGAAGGCCUUCGGGUUGUAAACUGCUUUUGUACGGAACGAAAAGCCUUCUUUUAAUACAGGAGGGUCAUGACGGUACCGUAAGAAUAAGCACCGGCUAACUACGUG
rnacentral:rRNA from 1 species